UACGGAGGGGGCUAGCGUUGUUCGGAAUUACUGGGCGUAAAGCGCACGUAGGCGGCUUUGUAAGUUAGAGGUGAAAGCCCGGGGCUCAACCCCGGAAUUGCCUUUAAGACUGCAUCGCUUGAAUCGCGGAGAGGUGAGUGGAAUUCCGAGUGUAGAGGUGAAAUUCGUAGAUAUUCGGAAGAACACCAGUGGCGAAGGCGGCUCACUGGACUGGUAUUGACGCUGAGGUGCGAAAGCGUGGGGAGCAAACAGG
rnacentral:rRNA from 1 species